AGACAAAAACCCAUCUGGGUGGCCAUGAAAUUCACUCAAGUCUCUCCAAGCAAAUCCAAUGGUAUGAGUUCCACCAUUCUCCUUAGAAUUAUCGUCGGUGUCGGCGGAUGU